AGAUCAGGUUUUUGAGAGCAUGAGUUCUUUUAUGGUGAAUUAAAGGCUUGAUCUGACCAAGUAGGUCAUCCAAUCAAAUUGAAGCGUUGACAUCAAUG